CUUCAGAGUAUCAAAACAAGCCAUAAGUGGCAUUAUUACAGAAGUAUGCUCCGCCAUAAUUGAGGAAUUAAAAGAUUAUAUCAAGCUUCCAACGACAGAAGAAACUUGGUUGAACAUAAGCAAACAGUUUGAAGAGAAGUGGAAUUUUCCACACUGUUUAGGGGCACUGGACGGAAAACAUGUUGUGCUUGAGGCACCUAUCAAAAGUGGAACUGAAUUCUACAACUAUAAAAACUUCUUUAGCAUCGUUCUUUUUGCUUUGGUUGACGCCGAUUAUAAUUUUCUAUUUGUAGAUGUGGGAUGCCAAGGAAGGAUUUCAGAUGGUGGCAUCUUUAAAGAUACAAAACUCUGUGAAAUGAUAGAAGAUCGUACAAUAAACCUUCCAUCACCUGAUUCACUCCCACGGAGACAUAUUCCAAUACCAUAUUUCUUUGUGGGUGAUAGUGCCUUUGCUUUAAGUGAAAAUCUGAUGAAACCAUAUGCUGGGGCACAUCCAAAAGGCACUUCAAAGAGAGUAUUCAACUACAGGCUAAGCAGAGCCAGAAGAACUGUUGAAAAUGCAUUUGGUAUCAUAUCGUCUGUCUUUAGAGUUCUCAGAAAACCAAUGCUUUUACAGCCUGAUAAAGCUGAGCUAGUGGUUAUGGCAAUUGUCCUUUUACAUAAUUAUUUGAGACGUCACUCUAGAAAUACAUAUAUGAAUGACACUGAAGAUGAAGUUACGAAUGAAGACACACGUAGGCAAAAUAAUGAAGAUAUGAGAUCACUACUACCUAUGAGAAAUAUUCCUCGACGAUCGCCUGCACAUUUGAAUGCGUUAAGAGAUGAGCUCUCCGAUUAUUUUAUGAAAGAAGGGAAGGUUCAUUAGCAAGACAGAUGUUCGUAAAAGAAUCAAUCCAGUUUUACUUACCGUGUUCGUUCUCUUUCUCGGUUUGUUACGGUUGUCCAAGAACUUCAAAGAAUCAAAGGCAAACCAUCGACUUUUGUAUGUCUCCGAGGCACCUGAAAAAAUAAAAUAAUAAUCAUGAAAAAAAUUAAAUAAAAAACAUAAUUCAGUCAGUUUUAAACAUAGUUGUUUUUAAGUAAACUUGACUAAUAAUAAUUAAUAAUAUUUAAUAAUUAAUUUGUGAUUUCAAUCCAUUAAAAUAUUGUAGUUGUUGUCAAAGUUGUCAUUUUGUAGAGAAAAAAGCCAAUUUCAAUAUUAGUCGGCUAUGCCAAUUUACAUUUCAAUACACAAACAUUUUUGCGGUUUCCAACCUACGAUUGUACUAAGAAUAAAGUAUAUGAAUAAAUAAUAAAUAGUAAAU